rnacentral:rRNA from 1 species
AGCAGCCGCGGUAAUUCCAGCUCCAAUAGCGUAUAUUAAAGUUGUUGCAGUUAAAAAGCUUGUAGUUGAAUUUCGGGAUUGGCGCAUCGGUCGUGCCUCACGGGGUAUGAACUGGUGCAGUCAAUUUCUCACCUUCUGGAGAACCGCGAUGUCCUUAAUUGGGUGCCGCGGGGAACCAGGACCUUUACUUUGAAAAAUUAGAGUGUUUAAAGUAGGCAUUUUUGCUUGAAUACAUUAGCAUGGAAUAAUAAAAUAGGACGGCAUGGUUCUAUUUUGUUGGUUUCUAGGACCACCGUAAUGAUUAAUAGGGAUAGUUGGGGGCAUUAGUAUUCAAUUGUCAGAGGUGAAAUUCUUGGAUUUAUUGAAGACUAACUACUGCGAAAGCAUUUGCCAAGGAUGUUUUCAUUAAUCAAGAACGAAAGUUAGGGGAUCGAAGACGAUCAGAUACCGUCGUAGUCUUAACCAUAAACUAUGCCGACUAGGAAUCAGACGAUGUUAAUUUUUAAUGUACUUCGUUUGG